rnacentral:lncRNA from 1 species
AAACCGAAUCUCUUGAAAGGAACCGAUUCGCAGAACUUGCCCACUACCAGAGCCGUUGGGAAACAUGAAUGUGGCGUCGCCGCAGUGCUCGUCUCCUAUUGGCCAGCUGAACUGUCAGUCAAGGAGCGUCGGCUGGCGAGCUGAGGUGAAUGACAGCGCCGUGCCUCAGCAGUGUACAUACAAGACAAAAUGGGAAAUAAUAUAUCCAGUUGACGCACUGUAGCUACAGCAUUUAGUGAAACGUGGCGGCAGACCAUUAGAGACCGGUUUAGAGAAGACCUCUUCCAUUCUAAACCAAGCUGUGACUGACGGAAGUGAACUUAGGACGGAAGGAGUUAGUGGUUUAGUCACGAAUGGCUUUCGACUCGGUUGGCGGCGACCGCGGCGGCGGUGAGGCUGCGUGGAUCAUGCAUCAGCAGAUGCAGUCUGAUCCCAAGUCUUCCUGGCCUUCCAGCUACAACUCGGACAACAGUCACUGGAACAACGGCAUGGAUUCUCAGUAUCCCGGCUACUCUAAUUAUUGGUAUCCCCAAUCGCACACGGCGGGACCUUAUGGAAGCACAUACCCCCCUGGAACAGAGGUCAACGGACAGGCCUCAUACAAUCCCCAGGCAAUGUCAGGCUAUUCCAAUGGGGUGUACAAUCCAGGACAGUACUCCUCGAGUAUGCUACAUCCCUCCAACCCCUUCUACUGCAGUAACCAGGUUCCUUCAAGACAGCCUCAGUAUCACAGCCAGCCCUGCCCUGAACAAAAUGCGGGGGGUUCAGCUCCUCCCCCCUACCCCGUUCCUCACUGCCAAGGGGUAAAUUCAGUUACAUGUAAACAUAAUAAAAGAUUGUUUAUUUAGUUUUGUACAAAUUUUUGGGUCAAUUGUAAGUAGUGUCCAUAAUAAAGAAAAUUAAUAAUCAUUUAAAAAUCUACUUUAAAACAUGUGCCAAGUUCUUAGUAAUGUAUUCUUUGUAUUCAAAUAAAAAAAAAACAUUUAAAUUUAAUGAUAAACUGUCAUGUGG